GACGAACGCUGGCGGCGUGCUUAACACAUGCAAGUCGAACGAAAAUACCAAGCUUGCUUGGUUGAUUAGUGGCGAACGGGUGAGUAACACGUGAGUAACCUGCCCCUUACUUUCCUGGAUAACUGCUCGAAAGGGUAGCUAAUACGGGAUAUUCUGACCAGCCUGCAUGGGUUGGUUUGGAAAGGUUGUUUUUCUGGUAAGGGAUGGGCUCGCGGCCUAUCAGCUUGUUGGUGGGGUGAUGGCCUACCAAGGCUUUGACGGGUAGCCGGCCUGAGAGGGUGGACGGUCACACGGGGACUGAGAUACGGCCCAGACUCCUACGGGAGGCAGCAGUGGGGAAUAUUGCACAAUGGGCGCAAGCCUGAUGCAGCGACGCCGCGUGAGGGAUGAAGGCCUUCGGGUUGUAAACCUCUUUCGUCAGGGAACAAGGCACUGCUUUUUUGGUGGUGUUGAGGGUACCUGGAUAAGAAGCGCCGGCUAACUACGUG
rnacentral:rRNA from 1 species